CCUGCCCAAGAGAUCGGGAUAACACCUGGAAACAGAUGCUAAUACCAGAUAACAACAGAUGAUGCCUAUCAACUGUUUAAAAGAUGGUUCUGCUAUCACUCUUGGAUGGACCUGCGGUGCAUUAGCUAGUUGGUAGGGUAACGGCCUACCAAGGCGAUGAUGCAUAGCCGAGUUGAGAGACUGAUCGGCCACAUUGGGACUGAGACACGGCCCAAACUCCUAGGGAGGCAGCAGAC
rnacentral:rRNA from 1 species